ACCCUCUUCCGAUGUCAAAUGCACAGGCUGAAGCCUAAAAGAAGAAAGAUGAGGCAGAGGUCCAAGUAAACCUCUAGCUUGUGAACCCAUGGAAGCCACAGGAGCAGAAUUAAAGAAUGCCAGAGGCCAGGGACAUUGGUAAAAAUAGCUGGACUGCAAGUCUACUUUCUAGAGUUUGAUUCAAUGGAUCUAGAACAUCCAUUGCCAUCUGAUUGCAAUGACCACCUUUGA